rnacentral:rRNA from 1 species
AUUGAACGCUGGCGGCAGGCUUAACACAUGCAAGUCGAGCGUGAAAGGGUUUCGGCCUGAGUAAAGCGGCGGACGGGUGAGUAAUACGCAGGAAUCUACCUGGUAGUGGGGGAUAACGUUUCGAAAGGGGCGCUAAUACCGCAUACGUUCUGAGGAAGAAAGCAGGGGGACCGCAAGGCCUUGUGCUAUCAGAUGAGCCUGCGUCCGAUUAGCUAGUUGGUGGGGUAAAAGCCUACCAAGGCGACGAUCGGUAACUGGUCUGAGAGGAUGAUCAGUCACACUGGAACUGAGACACGGUCCAGACUCCUACGGGAGGCAGCAGUGGGGAAUAUUGGACAAUGGGGGCAACCCUGAUCCAGCCAUGCCGCGUGUGUGAAGAAGGCCUUCGGGUUGUAAAGCACUUUAAGCUGGGAGGAAGGCUCGGAAGUUAAUACCUUCCGGGAUUGACGUUACCAGCAGAAUAAGCACCGGCAAACUUCGUG